GCACUCUUUGUAGAAGUACUCUUGAGUUGAUUGGUAGAAGGUCCUUGACUCUCUACCGUUGAUUUGAAGGGCUUCUAUGUUCUUACAAACAAGUUAAGCAUGUUAUAGAAUGUUAUUUUACUGGGACUUGAUUGACCCUUUAAAACUUUAUACAACUUUCAGCAACGGAUCUCUUGGCUCUCCCAUCGAUGAAGAACGCAGCGAAAUGCGAUAAGUAAUGUGAAUUGCAGAAUUCAGUGAAUCAUCGAAUCUUUGAACGCACCUUGCGCCCUCUGGUAUUCCGGAGGGCAUGCCUGUUUGAGUGUCAUUAUAUUCUCAACUUCAAUAAUUUUCUUUAAUUGUUGAAGCUUGGACGUGGAGGCUUUUGCUGGCAUCUCAGAUGUCCGGCUCCUCUUAAAUGCAUUAGUGGAACCCGUUCAAGUUGGGCUAUCCUUGGUUGUGAUAAUUAUCUACGCUUUGGAUUAGUCUUCAACAAACUGUUAGUGAUCAAUGCACUUUUGUACAUUGGUUGGGG
rnacentral:rRNA from 1 species